GUUCGGACUGCGGUCUGCAACUCGACUGCACGAAGCUGGAAUCGCUAGUAAUCGCGGAUCAGCACGCCGCGGUGAAUACGUUCCCGGGCCUUGUACACACCGCCCGUCACACCAUGGAAGUCUGCAAUGCCCGAAGCCGGUGGCCUAACCACUUAUGUGGAAGGAGCCGUCUAAGGCAGGGCAGAUGACUGGGGUGAAGUCGUAACAAGGUAGC
rnacentral:rRNA from 1 species